AGCGAACGCUGGCGGCAGGCUUAACACAUGCAAGUCGAGCGGGCCCUUCGGGGUCAGCGGCAGACGGGUGAGUAACACGUGGGAACGUACCCUUUGGUUCGGAAUAACGCUGGGAAACUAGCGCUAAUACCGGAUACGCCCUUUUGGGGAAAGGCUUGCUGCCGAAGGAUCGGCCCGCGUCUGAUUAGCUAGUUGGUGGGGUAAUGGCCUACCAAGGCGACGAUCAGUAGCUGGUCUGAGAGGAUGAUCAGCCACACUGGGACUGAGACACGGCCCAGACUCCUACGGGAGGCAGCAGUGGGGAAUAUUGGACAAUUGGCGCAAGCCUGAUCCAGCCAUGCCGCGUGAGUGAUGAAGGCCUUAGGGUUGUAAAGCUCUUUUGUCCGGGACGAUAAUGACGGUACCGGAAGAAUAAGCCCCGGCUAACUUCGUG
rnacentral:rRNA from 1 species